UACGUAGGGACCAAGCGUUGUUCGGAUUUACUGGGCGUAAAGGGCGCGUAGGCGGCAAUUCAAGUCAGCUGUGAAAUCUCCGGGCUUAACUCGGAACGGUCAGCUGAUACUGCUUCGCUAGAGUGCAGAAGGGGCAAUCGGAAUUCUUGGUGUAGCGGUGAAAUGCGUAGAUAUCAAGAGGAACACCUGAGGUGAAGACGGGUUGCUGGGCUGACACUGACGCUGAGGCGCGAAAGCUAGGGGAGCAAACGGG
rnacentral:rRNA from 1 species